AGUGAACGCUGGCGGUAGGCCUAACACAUGCAAGUCGAACGGCAGCACAGUAAGAGCUUGCUCUUACGGGUGGCGCGUGGCGGACGGGUGAGGAAUACAUCGGAAUCUACUUUUUCGUGGGGGAUAACGUAGGGAAACUUACGCUAAUACCGCAUACGACCUACGGGUGAAAGCAGGGGAUCUUCGGACCUUGCGCGAUUGAAUGAGCCGAUGUCGGAUUAGCUAGUUGGCGGGGUAAAGGCCCACCAAGGCGACGAUCCGUAGCUGGUCUGAGAGGAUGAUCAGCCACACUGGAACUGAGACACGGUCCAGACGCCUACGGGAGGCAGCAGUGGGGAAUAUUGGACAAUGGGCGCAAGCCUGAUCCAGCCAUACCGCGUGGGUGAAGAAGGCCUUCGGGUUGUAAAGCCCUUUUGUUGGGAAAGAAAAGCAGCAGGUUAAUACCCCGCUGUUCUGACGGUACCCAAAGAAUAAGCACCGGCUAACUUCGU
rnacentral:rRNA from 1 species